AGUGAACGCUGGCGGUAGGCCUAACACAUGCAAGUCGAACGGCAGCACAGUAAGAGCUUGCUCUUACGGGUGGCGAGUGGCGGACGGGUGAGGAAUACAUCGGAAUCUACUUUUUCGGGGGGGAUAACGUAGGGAAACUUACGCUAAUACCGCAUACGACCUACGGGUGAAAGCAGGGGAUCUUCGGACCUUGCGCGAUUGAAUGAGCCGAUGUCGGAUUAGCUAGUUGGCGGGGUAAAGGCCCACCAAGGCGACGAUCCGUAGCUGGUCUGAGAGGAUGAGAGGCGACACGGGAACUGAGACAGGGUCCAGACUACGACGGGAGGCAGCAGUGGGGAAUAUUGGAAAAUGGGCGCAAGCCUGAUCCAGCCAUACCGCGUGGGUGAAGAAGGCCUUCGGGUUGUAAAGACCUUUUGUUGGGAAAGAAAAGCAGCAGGUUAAUAACCCGCUGUUCUGACGGUACCCAAAGAAUAAGCACCGGCUAACUUCGUG
rnacentral:rRNA from 1 species